rnacentral:rRNA from 1 species
AUGAAAUUAAUGAUUCGCAAUUUCCCUACUCAUGGAUUAAAUUUAUGGAUGAUCAUACAAUUUUUUUAUGCCGGAUUGAAUUUUGCUUCUAGAAAUCUUUUAGAUUUGGCCGCGGGAGGCACUUUUAUAAAAAUCACUUUAGGAGAAGCUACUAAACUCCUAGAUAAUAUUAUGGUUAAUUAUUCUCAGUGGCACACCGAAAGAUCUACUAGUAAAAAAGUUCAUGCGAUAGAAGAGAUUAAUGUUUUGAGUGGAAAGAUGGACGAACUUAUGAACUUGUUUGCCAGUAAGAGUACUCCUAUUGAUCCUAAUGAUAUGGCUUUGUCUACUUUGAUUCAGAAUAAUAAUGAAUCUAUGGAUGUGAAUUUUGUUGGUAGGAAUAAUUUUGGUAACAACGCGUAUAGAGGAAACUUUAAUCCUAGGCCGUUUCCUAUUAAUUCCUCUAAUAAUUAUGGUAAUUCCUACAAUAACUCUUAUGGAAAUUUUAAUAAGAUUACCUCUGAUUUUGAGAUUAGUGUUAAAGAAUUUAUGAUCUCUCAAAAGAAUUUCAAUGCUUUGCUUGAAGAAAAAUUGCCUAAGAUUGAUGAAUUGGCUAGGAACGUAGAUAGAAUUUCUCUUGAUGUUGAUUCUUUGAAACUUAUAUCUAUUCGACAUAAGCAUGAUAUCAAUGAGUCUCUCAAAGCCAUGAGAAUCUCCAUUGAUAAUUGCAAAGAAAGAACCGCCAGGAUGCGUGCUAAGAAAGAUUGCUUUGUAAGAGCAUGUUCUUCUAGUUUUCAUGAUAAUAAUGAUGAAGAUCUAAAAGUGAUUGAUGUGUCCCCUAUUAAAUAUUUGUUUUGCAAUAUGAAUCUUGAUGAGAUGAGUCAACUUUAG